AUUGAACGCUGGCGGCAUGCCUUACACAUGCAAGUCGAACGGCAGCACGGGAGCAAUCCUGGUGGCGAGUGGCGAACGGGUGAGUAAAGUAUCGGAACGUGCCCAGUCGUGGGGGAUAACGUAGCGAAAGUUACGCUAAUACCGCAUACGAUCUAUGGAUGAAAGCGGGGGAUCGCAAGACCUCGCGCGAUUGGAGCGGCCGAUAUCAGGUUAGGUAGUUGGUGGGGUAAAGGCUCACCAAGCCGACGACCUGUAGCUGGUCUGAGAGGACGACCAGCCACACUGGGACUGAGACACGGCCCAGACUCCUACGGGUGGCAGCAGUGGGGAAUUUUGGACAAUGGGCGCAAGCCUGAUCCAGCCAUGCCGCGUGCAGGAUGAAGGCCUUCGGGUUGUAAACUGCUUUUGUACGGAACGAAAAGGUUUGACUUAAUACGUUGGACUCAUGACGGUACCGUAAGAAUAAGCACCGGCUAACUACGUGCCAGCAGCCGCAGUAACAC
rnacentral:rRNA from 1 species